GACGGACGGACCGACGGACGCGCGCACGGGGGAGGAGAAGAAGUCUUGUAUGUAUAUGUAGCUAGGACGGGCGGGGAGGAGGAAGAAGAAGAAGGAUAAAAAAAAAAACGUAAGGAGGAGAAAGAAGAAAAAAAAGGUGGUAGAUGUAGUUGUAGUAGUGGUGGUGGUGGUGGUGGAAGUAGACGCCAAGCCGUGGAACCCGUCGCCGCUACACGGACCCAGUCGUACAAUGGUGAUGAUGAUGAUGAGGAUGAGGAGGAGGAGGAUGAUGAUGAUGAUGUCGGUGGUGGUGGUGCUUCUGCUGUUGUGUCGUCAUUAACUCGGCGGACGGGAUAGAGAGAGGAAUUCAGCUUUAUUCGUUCUUAAGAUCUUCAUCCUGCUUGUGAGUGGUGGUGUUGUUGUGGUUGUUGUUUAUUCUUCUGUUGUUUCUUCUUCUGUGUGAAGGAAGGAAGGAAGGAAGGAAGGAAGGAGAGAAGGAAAGAAGGAAGGAGUGUUUUGGAGCCUUGGGAUAAUAGAUGUAAUUGUCUGCGGAUGGUUGGGCCCUACGCGUGGUGUGAAGGGUUGAUUCUUGUGGAGCGACGGACUUAAAUAGCGACAUAGGGUUCAGAUGUCAAAAGUUUUGAGCAUCCAUUUUUGCCCCAACGCCCACAAACACCGCUAGGAACUUCUGCGGCAGCCAUCUUGGUUAAUGACGUCAUCAUCGCUUCAGCCUCGAGCUCGGAAAUCACCGUCCACGGACCCAACAUUGUGUGAAGUGCAGCAAACGACAGGGUUGUGGUGGGAAUUUCUAUCAGCGGAGUCUGAUCGCAACAUACAGAAAGGAAGUGACGUACGAAAGGGGGCGUGCCCCAUGCCUCAGUGUAUAUGUGACUUCAGCUGACCUUUGCUAAGGUACAGCGUCAUCAAGAUGGCCGACCGGUCGCCGCCGGAACGGGGUCAAGGUCACUCGAGCAAACCGGAAGUGAUAGAGAGCAGCGAGGACAGUAAUGGCAGCAACGCGGGGAGGGAGGCUUUU